AGAGUUUGAUCCUGGCUCAGAAUCAACGCUGGCGGCGCGCCUAACACAUGCAAGUCGAACGAGAAAGGGGAGCAAUCUCUGAGUACAGUGGCGUACGGGUGAGUAACACGUGGGUAAUCUGCCCUUUGGUGGGGAAUAACCCUGGGAAACCGGGGCUAAUACCGCAUAAGUCCGAGAGGGGAAAGUCGCAAGACGCCGAAGGAGGAGCCCGCGGCCGAUUAGCUAGUUGGUAGGGUAAAAGCCUACCAAGGCGAAGAUCGGUAGCCGGCCUGAGAGGGCACACGGCCACACUGGCACUGAAACACGGGCCAGACUCCUACGGGAGGCAGCAGUGGGGAAUCUUGCACAAUGGGGGAAACCCUGAUGCAGCGACGCCGCGUGAGCGAUGAAGCCCUUCGGGGUGUAAAGCUCUUUCGGCAGGGAAGAUUAUGACGGUACCUGCAGAAGCAGCUGCGGCUAACUACGUGCCAGCAGCCGCGGUAAUACGUAGGCAGCAAGCGUUGUUCGGAGUUACUGGGCGUAAAGGGUGUGUAGGCGGUUUGGUAAGUCUGGUGUGAAAUCUCCCGGCUCAACUGGGAGGGUGCGCCGGAAACUGCCGGACUCGAGUGCGGGAGAGGAGAGUGGAAUUCCUGGUGUAGCGGUGAAAUGCGUAGAUAUCAGGAGGAACACCGGUGGUGUAGACGGCUCUCUGGACCGUAACUGACGCUGAAACACGAAAGCGUGGGUAGCAAACAGGAUUAGAUACCCUGGUAGUCCACGCCCUAAACGAUGCAUAUUUGGUGUGGGUCAUUCAGUUGAUCCGUGCCGGAGCUAACGCGUUAAAUAUGCCGCCUGGGGAGUACAGUCGCAAGGCUGAAACUCAAGGAAUUGACGGGGGCCCGCACAAGCGGUGGAGCAUGUGGUUCAAUUCGACGCAACGCGAAGAACCUUACCUGGGCUCGAACGGCUGGUUACCGGCGGUGG
rnacentral:rRNA from 1 species